rnacentral:rRNA from 1 species
GCAAGUCGAACGGUAUAUGGUGCUUGCACUAUAGAGAGUGGCGAACGGGUGAGUAACACGUAGAUGAUCUACCCUUUAGUUGGGGAUAGCCUACGGAAACAUGGGGUAAUACCGAAUAAUAUCCAAGGAUGAAAGGAGCUUAGGCUUCGCUGAAGGAUGAGUCUGCGGCUCAUUAGCUAGUUGGUAGGGUAAGAGCCUACCAAGGCGAUGAUGAGUAGCCGGCCUGAGAGGGUGACCGGUCACACUGGGACUGAGACACGGCCCAGACUCCUACGGGAGGCAGCAGCUAAGAAUCUUCCGCAAUGGACGAAAGUCUGACGGAGCGACGCCGCGUGUAUGAAGAAGGCCGAAAGGUUGUAAAAUACUUUUCCUGGGGAUGAAUAAGGUUGGGAGGUAAUGCCUGACCGAUGACGUUAACCAGGGAAUAAGCCCCGGCUAAUUACGUGCCAGCAGCCGCGGUAACACGUAAGGGGCGAGCGUUGUUCGGAAUCAUUGGGCGUAAAGGGCGCGUAGGCUGUUUACCAAGCUUGGUGUGAAAGACCCCGGCUCAACCGGGGGAUCGCGCUGGGAACUGGUAGGCUAGAGUACUGGAGGGGAGUCUGGAAUUCCUAGUGUAGGGGUGAAAUCUGUAGAUAUUAGGAAGAACACCGGUGGCGAAGGCGAGACUCUGGACAUGUACUGACGCUGAGGCGCGAAAGCGUGGGGAGCGAACAGGAUUAGAUACCCUGGUAGUCCACGCUGUAAACGAUGUGCACUAGGUGUAGGAGGGAUACUUUCUGCGCCGUAGUAAACGCGAUAAGUGCACCGCCUGGGGAGUAUGCCCGCAAGGGUGAAACUCAGAGGAAUUGACGGGGGCCCGCACAAGCGGUGGAGCAUGUUGCUUAAUUCGAUGCAACGCGAAGAACCUUAUCCUGGACUUGACAUGUUCGGAUGCCUCCCUGGAAACAGGGUUCGGCUGCCCUUCGGGGUGAAACGAUCACAGGUGCUGCAUGGCUGUCGUCAGCUCGUGUCGUGAGAUGUUGGGUUAAGUCCCGUAACGAGCGAAACCCUUGUCGCUAGUUGCCAGCGUGUAAUGGCGGGGACUCUAGCGAGACUGCCGGUGUCAAACCGGAGGAAGGUGGGGAUGACGUCAAGUCCUCAUGGCCUUUAUGUCCAGGGCUGCAAACGUGCUACAAUGGCCGGUACAAAUCGACGCAAGACCGCGAGGUGGGGCAAAUCGCAAAAAGCCGGCCCCAGUUCGGAUUGGAGUCUGCAACUCGACUCCAUGAAGUCGGAAUCGCUAGUAAUCGCGUAUCAGCGUGACGCGGUGAAUGUGUUCCUGAGCCUUGUACACACCGCCCGUCAAGUCAUGGAAGCCGGGAGCACCCGAAGUCG